rnacentral:misc_RNA from 1 species
GAUGAAGAACGUAGCGAAAUGCGAUAAGUAAUGUGAAUUGCAGAAUUCAGUGAAUCAUCGAAUCUUUGUACGCACAUUGCGCCCCUUGGUAUUCCGAGGGGCAUGCCUGUUCGAGCGUCAUUAUCACCCCUCAAGCUCAGCUUGGUGUUGGGGCCGGCCCGUCACAGGGCCGCCCCUAAAAGCAGUGGCGGUGCCAUCUGGCUCUACGCGUAGUAAUACUCCUCGCGACAGAGUCCCGGUGGUGUCCUGCCAGAACCCCCCAUCUUUUUAAUGAUUGACCUCGGAUCAGGUAGGGAUACCCGCUGAACUUAAGCAUAUCAAUAAGCGGAGGA